CCUUUUUGGAAGGCAAGAUGGCAAUAGGUAUUAAGAGCCUCAAAAGUGUUCUUACCCCUUGGAAAAGCAAAGCCACUUCCAAGAAUUAAUCCUCAGGAAAUAAUCAGAGAUUCUGAUGAGGAUCUUUAUCUCUUCUGCAUUGAAAUGCUGUCUCCCUCUUCACAGGGACAGACGCGCAGCAGAUCCUAAACAAAUGUUAUCAACUAUCUGGAUGGCAACUGACUUCCAUAAAACGUCUGCUUCCAGCCAGAAGCCCAGUGGGAAGAGAGGCCUCCUACCGCCCGGGCCUGUUUGGUCAGGAUGCUGCUUCUGUGUGAAGCGUUCAACGACUCUGUCCACUCACUGUGAAUGGCUACAGCGGCAGACUCGUAGAGGAAGGAAGGAAAGCAGGUGGAAAAGGAGAAUGGAAGAGUGUGGCGAUAAACUGCAUCUGAACCCAAAGGAUGAGCAGGGAAAAGCAGGUCCAGGCCACAGUCAGAGAUUUCAACUACACAAAAUCUCCCUGAACAAGCCAACUCCAAGACAAAGCAGCCAUCAGGUUGGCCUCCAGAUGGAGAGCUUUUACUUAUCUUGGCAUCUGGUACUAGAAUUUCUCUUUGGGAAGAACUACCUUUAUUGGAAGAAGUUCUUUUUUCUUUUUAAAUUACUUUGUUGAGAUCAUAAUGGCUUAUAACAUUGUGUAAUUUCAGGUGUACGUUAUUAUUUAUCAGUUUCUGUAUAGACUGCAUCAUGCUCACCCCCAAUAGUCUAAUUUUUAGCAUUACCAUAUAUAUGUGCCCCUUUACCCCUUUUGCAAACUUCCCCAACCCCCUUCCCCUCUGGUAACCACUAAUCUGUUCUCUUUAUCCAUGUGUUUAUCUUCCACUUAUGAGUGGGAUCAUACAGUGUUUGACUUUCUCUGUCUGGCUUAUUUCACUUAAUAUAAUGCCCUCCAAGUCCAUCCAUGUUGUUGCAAAUGAAACGGUUUUGUCUUUUUUAAUGGCUGAGUAGUUCCAUUGUACAUAUAUACCACAUCUUCUUUAUCCAUUCAUCAGUCGAGGGACACUUGGAUUGCUUCCACAUUUUGGCCACUGUGAAUAAUGCUGCAAUGAACAUGGGGGUGCAUAAAUCUCUUUGAAUUGUUGACUUCAAGUUCUUUAGAUAAAUACUGAGUAGCAGAUAGCUGGGUCGUAUGGUAUUUCUAUUUUUAAUGUUUUGAGAAAUCUCCAUACUGUUUUCCAAGUAGCUGCACCAGUUUGCAUUUCCACCAGCAGUGUAUGAGGGUUCCCUUUUCUCCACAUCCUCUCCAACAUUUGUCAUUUUUUGUUUAGGUAAUCAUACCCAUUCUAACAGGGCUAAGGUGGUAGCUCAUUGUAGUUCUGAUUUGUAUUUCCCUAAUAAUUAGUGAUGUUGAACAUCUUUUCAUGUGCCUGUUGGCCACCUGUAUAUCUUCUUUGGAAAAAUGUCUGUUCAUAUCUUCUGCCCAUUUUUUGAUUGGGUUGAUUUUUUGUUGUUGAGUUGUAUGAGUUCUUUACAUAGUUUGGAAAUUAACCCCUUGUUGGACAUACGAUUUGCAAAUAUUUUCUCCUAGUUGGUGUGUUGUCUUGUCAUUUUAUUCAUGGUUUCCUCAGCCUUCUAAGAGCUCUUUUGUCUGAUAUAGUCCCAUUUGUUUAUUU
rnacentral:lncRNA from 1 species